UAUUUCUAAUAAAUAACUUUAUUCCUUUAGAAUGAAAAUCUAACGUGCAUAGUACAC
rnacentral:tRNA from 1 species